UUUUAAAGGAAGAACAUGUUUCACCAUCGUUCUCCUUCUGCUCAUGGCUUUCUUAAUAUUCUUCCAGCUUAACAUAUGGGACACAUUGUUUCAGCCUAAAAUGAGCUCCACCAUCU